UACGUAGGUGGCAAGCGUUAUCCGGAAUUAUUGGGCGUAAAGCGCGCGUAGGCGGUUUUUUAAGUCUGAUGUGAAAGCCCACGGCUCAACCGUGGAGGGUCAUUGGAAACUGGAAAACUUGAGUGCAGAAGAGGAAAGUGGAAUUCCAUGUGUAGCGGUGAAAUGCGCAGAGAUAUGGAGGAACACCAGUGGCGAAGGCGACUUUCUUGUCUGUAACUGACGCUGAUGUGCGAAAGCGUGGGGAUCAAACAGGAUUAGAUACCCCGGUAGUCC
rnacentral:rRNA from 1 species